AGUGAGCGGCAAAAGCUCAAAUUUGAAAUCUGGUACCUUCGGUGCCCGAGUUGUAAUUUGGAGAGGGCAACUUUGGGGCCGUUCCUUGUCUAUGUUCCUUGGAACAGGACGUCAUAGAGGGUGAGAAUCCCGUGUGGCGAGGAGUGCGGUUCUUUGUAAAGUGCCUUCGAAGAGUCGAGUUGUUU
rnacentral:rRNA from 1 species